GACGUAGGGCGCGAGCGUUGUCCGGAUUUAUUGGGCGUAAAGAGCUCGUAGGCGGCUUGUCGCGUCGACUGUGAAAUCCCGCGGCUCAACUGCGGGUCUGCAGUCGAUACGGGCAGACUAGAGUUCGGCAGGGGAGACUGGAAUUCCUGGUGUAGCGGUGAAAUGCGCAGAUAUCAGGAGGAACACCGGUGGCGAAGGCGGGUCUCUGGGCCGAUACUGACGCUGAGGAGCGAAAGCGUGGGAGCAAACAGG
rnacentral:rRNA from 1 species